CUUUGUUCAGCAAGCGUUCGCUGGGCAGCACGAGUUCCCAUGGUAACUUGUCCCAGGUGUCCCUGACCUCCGAUGACGUCCUGAGUGGGGACGAGGUGGACAGUCCCCUGGGGUCGCGACCUGGGAAGAGGUCCAACAGCGCCACAGACAUACAAGGUGACUUUAAACGCAGACUACCCAGAACCCCCUCCACUGGCACCAUGUCCUCAGCAGACGACCUGGACGAGAGACAACCAUACUCAGACAACGGUCUGGGUGAGAUGGUGACCGAGGCAGACGGUUCCCCUGGUCCGUUUCGUAACGCCCAGAUGUCCAAGGCAUCUCAGACACACAAGCUGAGGAAACUCAGAGCGCCGUCUAAGUGCAGGGAGUGUGACAGUCUGGUGGUUUUCCACGGAGCAGAAUGUGAA